GGGUCAUCAGAAUUAGAAUCAACAAGAAGUGGGGCCCAUAGAAAUUCCACAGUAGCAUCGUAUUCCUCUGCCCUGAAAAUGGUAAGAGGAGCAUUUGGAGACAUAGAUCUCUUAUCCGCUGGCACUGACUGUAACAAACAUACCAUUGAUAUCCAUUGCCCUCUAUUUAGUGAAUCACCCACAAACAUCAGUCUCUUCCCUCUCAACUUCUCCCACAUUUCAGUAACAUUCCAUCUCUUCAAAUUGCAGUUGUGAGGUUGCCACCUCCAGUACUGGUAUCCCAAAUCGGACCUUCCAUGCUUGUGACAUGCCAAUUGGUCAGACAUGUACGGACAAUCCGACUCAUUAUAAAGCGGGCACGAUUUAUUAUCAAAUACCCAUUUACCCGAAAACACAUCACAGCUCUCCAAACUCUCGCUCCGUUGACCCAAUUUCGGUUUCCGAUCAACCCAUUGG
rnacentral:misc_RNA from 1 species